rnacentral:rRNA from 1 species
CCUACGGGUGGCAGCAGUGAGGAAUAUUGGUCAAUGGGCGCGAGCCUGAACCAGCCAAGUCGCGUGAGGGAAGACGGCCCUACGGGUUGUAAACCUCUUUUGCCGGGGAGCAACGGGCGCCACGUGUGGCGCCACUGAGAGUACCCGGAGAAAAAGCAUCGGCUAACCCCGUGCCAGCAGCCGCGGUAUUACGGAGGAUGCGAGCGUUAUCCGGAUUUAUUGGGUUAAAAGGGUGCGAGGGCGGUGCGUUAAGUCAGUGGUAAAAGUGAGGGGUUCAACCCCUUCCCGCCAUUGAAACUGGCGAUCUUGAGUGGAAGAGAAGUAUGCGGAAUGCGGGGUGUAGCGGUGAAAUGCAUAGAUAUCACGCAGAACCCCGAUUGCGAAGGCAGCAUGCCGGCUUCCUACUGACGCUGAAGCACGAAAGCGUGGGGAUCGAACAGGAUUAGAUACCCUUGUAGUC